GCCUGCGGAGCGGAGGAAGACAAACAUAAAGAUGAAGUGCUUAAUUCAAGGUCACACAAUGUCGGGGAUGGACCUCCAGAUUUCCUUACUGACCUGCAUUAUCUUGUGGAUACCUGAGUGAAUUCCACACCACCCAUUUUAUAGAUGAAACCACUGAGACAUGGAGCAAUUGACUGAGUAGUCACUGCCCCACCCCUGCCUGGAGCCUCACACAUGACUCGCCUCCUCUCAGUGACCACAGGAAAACAAGCUCAGGGCUCCCACUGAUUGUACAUUAUGAGACGGAGUCUUGCUAUGUUGCCCAGGCUGGUCUUGAACUCCUCACCUCAAGCGAUCCUCCCGUCUUGGCCUCCCAAGUGUCAGGAUUACGGGCAUGUGCUAUCACACCCAACCUGAUACAUUGCCUUUAUAAAUUUUUUUUUCUUUAUUCUAAAAACCAGAAAAAACAAAACUGGAUACAUGUGCAGAACAUGCAGACCAAGUGUGUUGGGGACUUGAGAUGCGUACAUGAGUGUGAUGUUUCCUGCUGAAAGCACAGGUGAGACGUGGUCUUGUAACACAGUGGUUAAGAAUGUGACUUUGGAGCCAGCCUGCUAGGGGCUGAAUUCUGACUCAGCCAUUUACUAACUGUGUGACCUUAGGCUGGAGUGCAAUGGCAUGAUCUCGGCUCAUCACAACCUCUGCUUCCUGGGUUCAAGCGAUUCUCCUGCCUCAGCCUCCCGAGUACCUGGGACUACAGGCACUCGCCACCAUGCCCGGCUGAUUUUUGUAUUUUUAAUAGAGAUGGUUUCACUAUGUUGGCCAGGCUGGUCUCGAACUCCUGACCUUGUGAUCUGCCCACCUCAGCCUCGAAAAGUGCUGGGAUUACAGGCGUGAGCCACUGCGCCCAGCCUUGUAUUUUUUUUCAGUUUGGGUAGCUGUCCCUAAUUCAUUUGUUAAAGGAGAAGCAAGAGCAAGAACCUUUAAUCUGUUCUCCUCUUCCCUAAUUUGAAAGUAGCUUGUUAUUUUGAAUAUCACUUUCUCUGAAAUAGCACAUCUCCAUCUCAGAGAAUGGAUUUAAUGUUUGGAUACAGCCAAAAGUCAUUUCAUUACCAAACCAUGGGGUGAAUAUACCAUGUAAAGCAGUUUGGGAUCAGAACUCACAGUCUGAAUUGUAAGUGAUGAGACUGCUGUCUCUCUGCUACAGCUUCUUGGCUGGCUCUGAAGGCUCUUUGAAGGCAGAUCCUAACAAGGGGACUGCUUUGAAGGGCCAUUGUUCAUUUGGAAUGAUAAAGUCUAUGUUGUUCAAAAAACAAAUGCUUGUAGCAGGUAUUUUUUCACUCCAGACUGAGAAUAUUGGUGGGAUAUUGAUAAGGGGUACUGAAUGGUAAUAAACAUGUGCUCUAGCUCUGUGCUAGUCAGCUUAUUUCAGAACUCUAGUUUGAUUCAGUUUCUUGCCUCUGACUCAAAAUGGAGGGAGAGUGAUUUUUACAUAAGAGAACACACCCACAUAUCCUUUUGGCAGCAGCUACCUGCCAGAGAUGUUGAAGAAGAGUAGCCAACCUUUACACAGCAGAUAUUGUGUGCCAGUCAUAGUCCUAAGUAUAAUACCUUACAUGUAUAAACUUCUUAUAAGGUUGGUGCUCUGUACCGAAUUGAAUAGUAUCCCCCAAAAUUCAUGUUGUCCCAGAACCUAUGAAAGUGAUCUUACUUGAGGGAGGGGGGAGGGGGGAGGGAUAGCAUUAGGAGAUAUACCUAAUGCUAAAUGACGAGUUAAUGGGUGUAGCACACCAGCAUGGCACAUGUAUACAUAUGUAACUAACCUGCACAUUGUGCACAUGUACCCUAAAACUUAAAGUAUAAUAAUAAUAAAAUAAAAAAAAAAAAGAAAGUGAUCUUACUUGGAAAUAAGGUCUUUGCACAUAUGAUCAAGUUGAGAUGAAGUUGUACUGGAAAGUCUGUCUAGUGACUGGUGUUGUCAUAAGAAGAGAGGGACACAGAGGGAAGAUGGCCACAUGAAGAUGGAGGCAGAGAUUGCAGUUAUGCUGCUGCAAACUAAGGAAUGGCUCUGGCCCUCCAAGGAUUGCUGAUAACCACCAGAAACUAGAAGAGACAAGGAAGGAUUCUUCCCUAGAGCCUUCAGAGGGAGCAUGGCCCUACUGACACCUGGAUUUCAAACUUGUAGCUUCCUAAACUGCAAGAGAAUAAAUUUCUGUUGUUUUAAGCCAUAUAGUUUGUGGUAAUUUGUUAUGGCAGUCCUAGGUAAU
rnacentral:lncRNA from 1 species